rnacentral:snRNA from 1 species
GUGCUUGCUUCAGCAGCAUAUUCAUAUAAAAUGGGAACGAUAUAGAGAAGAUUAGCAUGGUCCCUGUGCAAGGAUGACACGCAAAUUCAUGAAGAAUUCCAUAUUUUU